ACAAAUAACCCUUUUUGUCCAGCACCAUUAGAAACACUCGUUAAUGGCUGACAUGUUUCUCAUAAUCAUAUAGAAAAUAAAUUUAAAAAUAAUUUUAGAAUUAAUUUCACAUAUCACGUAAAAAUCCCAAUUUAUUCUCACAAAUACGACAGCGGGUUUCACUUUUGAAAUUCACGAUGCUUACUUUUCUUUUCUCAUUUUUAACCUUUCCAUUUUCAAAAGUGUGUCAUCCUUUUUUUUUCACGUUUCACGCAUUAAUCUUGUUGCCGGUUUCUUCCUGUCCUCCUUUCCUCAAGACCGGCGAUUAGUUGUUGUUGUAUUGUUGUAUCAUUCGGCUGCUUCCCCGGCGGAGCAACUGGGUGGCAUCAUCGAAAGAUUGUCGGCAAAUAACAGAUCCGACGACCCGCAACAUCUCCUUACGUUCUUCAUCGGCACCAACAUCUCCUUAUUUAGAUUCAAAGGUUUUUCAACAUAUGAGAUCCAGUGAAUUGCUCCUUUAGAUCAGCAAUCCUAAUCGCAACAUAUGUUUCUCUUUUGCCAAUCAUAAAUGAUUUUGAAUUGGUGAAGCAAUUAGGGCAGGAGGAGGACGGGUGGGCGCAGAGGAUGCAGGAGGUGUAGAGACGAUGGUGGACGCCGCUGACUUUAACGUGGAGGAGGAGGAUGAAUGUUUCUUUAGUAUUGAAGUUUCCGCAUGUUGCUGUUUACUUGAAACGACAAUUUUCUGAUUCACUGGCUAUGACUUUGGUUUGAUGGUUUCAGUUGUUCACUUGAAACCAUGCCAAAAGAUCUUAAAUAUGAGAAUUAUUUGAUUUUAAUUGUUGAAUAUAUUUAUUUUUCAAGUGGAAAUAUUUCCGGCCUUGUUUGGAAUAAAUCUUUUGUAAGAAUUCAGUUUGAUUUAAAUUAUUUAAAUUUUUUGUAUUUUUUCUUGAAUUUUUUGAUUCUGGUAACUAUAAUUUCUCCUUCUCAUUGACCAUUUUAGAUUUAGUCGAAUUGAAUUCUUGCAUUUUUACUCUAUUACAAUGAAGUUGUAUAUGAAUUUUUUUUCUUGAAUAUGGACGUGACUUUGUAGUUCAAGCCAUUUUCUCCUUUUGGUUUUUAUGGUACAAGAAAUGUUAGCAAUCAGCUCAAAAUUAUUAAAGCACUCACUUAAAACGUUUAACAAACCCUAUAGUAGUUAAGCUAUCACAUAAGCUAGGCAAUGCAACCGAAGGUCCAAUGUACGUAGAGAAGAAAUUAAUGAUAAAACCUACUCCUUCCGUCCUAAUAGAGUUGACUAUUUUGCCUUUAUCACACAGUUUAACAAAAGUAAUUAUUAUUUAUGAUUUUUAUAAAAAAAUUCUUAUUUUUCUUGUCAUACCCCUAUUUAAUAUAGGGUCCACUUACAAUUUACUUACAACGUAUUCAUUAGUGGAUUUUAAAUAGGAGUAAUAGAGGAAAAUUGAGUGUAAAAGUUAGUUAUUUUUUGGAAGUGGACAAGAGUUUUGGGACAAAAAAAUUUCUCAAAGUGGACAACUCUAUUGGGACGGAGGAAGUAUUAUGUUUUUGUAUAAUCGGGACUUAUUAAACACCAAAUUUAUAUCCAAUUUUGGAUUUCACGGAACACCAACCCAAACUCCUGUCUUUUUGCACUCACUCUCCUCAGAUUGGGAAUUGGCAAUUUAGCUGCUUCGCGUAUUACGAAAACCGUAUUGCCCGAAUACUUAUAAUAGGAUAAAACUUCAGAUAUCAAGUGCUUUCUUCUGCUGAUUUCAUUCCCUCUUGGGCACUGUUUCAUGAGUUGAACUUUUCCGGAAUGACCAGCACCGCCUGAGGAUUGUGGUAGACAGUGAGAAUGAAGUAGACCUGAUGGUUCAUUCCAGGCAUUUGCGGGAUGUCAUCGUCCUUGUGAUCCGAGGCCUAGCUCAGAGAUUCAAUAGUACAUCUCUCAAUUCUCUCCUCAAAAUAGAGACAUGAAGUCAAUUAAUAGAAAAAGUUUAUUCCCUAAUUUUUACAGAAUCAUUAUUUUUAUUGUUGUCAUUCUGGUUUUUCUAUGUAAGAUGUGUAGUGCUCGAAAAUUGCUGGGUGUGUUAAAAUUUUUUUGUAUAGUAUUACAUCAAUUCUGAUAUUAA